AACGUAGGACGCAAGCGUUAUCCGGAGUUACUGGGCGUAAAGCGUGCGCAGGCGGUUCGUUGCGUCGGUGGUGAAAGCCCCGGGCUUAACCUGGGAAUGGCCAUGGAAACUGGCGAACUGGAGUGUGGCAGAGGGGGGUGGAAUUCCGCGUGUAGCAGUGAAAUGCGUAGAGAUGCGGAGGAACACCGAUGGCGAAGGCAGCCCCCUGGGCUAGCACUGACGCUCAGGCACGAAAGCGUGGGGAGCAAACAGG
rnacentral:rRNA from 1 species